rnacentral:rRNA from 1 species
CUGCUGCCUUCCGUAGGAGUUUGGGCCGUGUCUCAGUCCCAAUGUGGCCGUCCACCCUCUCAGGCCGGCUACUGAUCGUCGCUUUGGUAGGCCGUUACCCUGCCAACUGGCUAAUCAGACGCGGGCCCAUCUUAUACCACCGGAGUUUUUCACCCUGGGCCAUGCGGCCCUGGGCGCUUAUGCGGUCUUAGCACCUAUUUCUAAGUGUUAUCCCCUGUNAUAAAGGUACGUACGUACCGUACG